rnacentral:rRNA from 1 species
ACGGAGGGUGCAAGCGUUAAUCGGAAUCACUGGGCGUAAAGCGCACGUAGGCGGUCCGGCGUGUCAGGUGUGAAAUCCCCCGGCUUAACCGGGGAAUUGCACUUGAAACUACCGGACUUGAGUAUUGGAGAGGGUGGCGGAAUUCCAGGUGUAGAGGUGAAAUCCGUAGAUAUCGGGAGGAAUACCAGUGGCGAAGGCGGCCACCUGGACGAUUACUGACGCUGAGGUGCGAAAGCGUGGGGAGCAAACAG